CCUACGGGAGGCAGCAGUGGGGAAUAUUGGGCAAUGGGCGCAAGCCUGACCCAGCAACGCCGCGUGAAGGAAGAAGGCUUUCGGGUUGUAAACUUCUUUUGUCAGGGACGAAGCAAGUGACGGUACCUGACGAAUAAGCCACGGCUAACUACGUGCCAGCAGCCGCGGUAAUACGUAGGUGGCAAGCGUUAUCCGGAUUUACUGGGUGUAAAGGGCGUGUAGGCGGGGAAGCAAGUCAGAUGUGAAAACCAGGGGCUCAACCUGUGGCCUGCAUUUGAAACUGUUUUUCUUGAGUACUGGAGAGGAAGACGGAAUUCGUGGGGUAGCGGUGAAAGGGGUAGAUAACAGGAGGAAAACAAGGGGCGAAGGGGGUCGGAGGGACAGCAAUGGACGCUGAGGGGCGAAAGCGGGGGGAGCAAACAGGAUUAGAUACCCUGUAGUC
rnacentral:rRNA from 1 species